UCCCACCUGCCCUGUGACCAAAAGUUUAACGGCCGCGGUAUCCUAACCGUGCGAAGGUAGCGCAAUCAAUUGCCUUUUAAAUGAAGGCCUGUAUGAAUGGUAUUACGAGGGUUUAACUGUCUCUUUUCCCAAGUCAGUUAAAUUGAUCCGUCCGUGCAGAAGCGGACAUAAAAAUACAAGACGAGAAGACCCUAUGGAGCUUUAGACACUAACCAACUUAUGAAAAGCAACACGAACAUAAACGUGACACAAACACCCAUAAAACUGGCAUAACUGUCUUAGGUUGGGGCGACCACGGGAGAAAACAAAGCUCCCAAGCAGACCAGGGAUACCCUGAAACCAAGAGUUACAACUCUAAGCCACAAAAACUUUGACUGUAAUGAUCCGGCCACAGCCGAUUAACGGACCAAGUUACCCUAGGGAUAACAGCGCAAUCCCCUCCCAGAGUCCAUAUCGACAAGGGGGUUUACGACCUCGAUGUUGGAUCAGGACAUCCUAAUGGUGCAACCGCUAUUAAGGGUUCGUUUGUUCAACGAUUAAAGUCCUACAUGAUCUG
rnacentral:rRNA from 1 species